AUUGAACGCUGGCGGCAGGCUUAACACAUGCAAGUCGAACGGCAGCGGGGACUUCGGUCCGCCGGCGAGUGGCGAGCGGGUGAGUAAUGUAUCGGAACGUACCAUUGAGUGGGGGAUAACGUAGCGAAAGUUACGCUAAUACCGCAUAUUCUCUCCGGAGGAAAGCAGGGGACCGCAAGGCCUUGCGCUCUUUGAGCGGCCGAUAUCAGAUUAGCUAGUUGGUGGGGUAAAGGCUCACCAAGGCGACGAUCUGUAGCGGGUCUGAGAGGAUGAUCCGCCACAAUGGAACUAGGACACGGUCCAGACUCCUACGGGAGGCAGCAGUGGGGAAUUUUGGACAAUGGGGGCAACCCUGAUCCAGCCAGGCCGCGUGAGUGAAGAAGGCCUUCGGGUUGUAAAGCUCUUUCAGCCGGGAAAAAAUCGCAUGGGCUAAUACCCUGUGUGGAUGAUGGUACCGGAAUAAGAAGCACCGACUAACUACGUGCCAGCAGCCGCCGCCG
rnacentral:rRNA from 1 species